ACAGCAGAGCGGGUGCUGCCAGCUCAAGGUCCAACAGCAGAGACCACGCCUGACCGCAUAUCUGGGGGGAUCCCCCUGUGGACCCGCCGGCGCAUCUGCGGGAAAGAAGUAGCCCGGAGACACGCGCAGGGGAUGCUGUGGGGGAGUCGGAGCGAGACAAGGUGAAGAUGCUGGGGAGAGGCUGGCUCUGCCCGGACCUGGGCACACUUGGAUGAACUAGGAGUGGCCUGUGGGCCCGGCUGGUCCCGCCCUGCAGGGUCCUGGGCUAGGCUGGCCAGGGAAGCCAUGGGGGACCUAGGUUAGCCCCUUCAGGGUCAGGAUGCUCAGCUUUCUCCUUUCUCACUGUCCCAGGAUUUACUCCAGUUCCUCUGUAUCUUCACCUACUUAUCGGCUCACCUGAUCUCCUGGGUUCUUUGCUGGAAAAGGGGACCUGGUGGUGUUAGCCAAGCAGCCAGCUUCCCUAGAGUGGCCCUGACUCAGGGCCAUGGUCUCAGAAGAGCCAGGAAGGCACAGACCCCUCACAGCCCAAGGACACCUCGACCGCUCUGGGGUCGGGCAGCGGGGAACCGCAGCUCCGCCUCAGCCACCUCCCGCCUCCCACCAGGACAGUGGGAGACGGGUUCUCACCCUCGCCUUGUGGGUGCUGAAGCCGUGGAUGCUGAGGCUGAGCUGCUCCCAACUUGAAGGCAAGAGAUGCAGAGCCAUGAGGACCAGCUUCCUGGAGCCCCCCGCCCCGUCUCAGCCCAGGAGACUCUGGAGGGGAGGACUGACCGCCCGGGGGUCAGUGGUGCCCCUCCUCCCGCUGCUGCUGGUCACCCCCCUCUGCCCCCCGCCCCUGCCCUGCCAGGCCGAGCGGCCUCUCCCAGAGCAGGCGGGUCCAGGAGCCCAGCACCUGCUGCUCAGCCUCCCCUCCUCCACUGCGGCCCGGCCGGGCCUCCUACCCCGAGUCUCCUCCUGGCACCAGACAAGGGGUCAAACUCCACCCGCCUCUGCCACUUUCCAUGAGCUUCCAGGUCCUGCCGGCCUAUCCUCCAACGCCUGAAACCACGUCUCUCACUGCCCUUCAUGCAAUGUCCUCACGUGGCCCCCCAGCUGGGCCUGCUGCCCUUGGAAACCUGUGGGCCAGGCGCCCCUCGUCCUGUGGCCACCCUCCGUAGAGCCACUGUGGACCAGUCUGAGCCCACCCCGACCCUGCUGGACAGAUGCCCGGCCCCUCCGCGGUGUCGGUGUGGAGGCUCCGGGGCUGAGGCCAAAGCCCGGCUCAGAGCCCAGCUCUGCCCGUGCCACCUCCCCGAGCCCCCUUGGCGCGAGGUUAGUGCGGAUGCUGGUCCCCAGUGUCCCCCACGGCUUGAGGCCCAGAGCUGGGCAGAAGGGCCCUGCCUCCAGAGAGGUGCUUCCCCAAAUGGGAGCCCUCCUGGGGGACAUUGCGGGGGUUGGGGGGGCGGUGUCCAGAUGGCUCACAGCCAAAAACCUAGCCUGUCGGUGACUUUAUAGAGUGAGAGAUCAGAAUCUCCCCUCGGUUCCACUGGAGGCCCUGACUGGCGCCCCUGAAACCCAGAUGGGGCACCAAGGUGAGGGUACAACCAGAGCGACAGAGGGCCUAGCACAAGACCCUGCCCAAAGGGGCGCCGCCUGUGCCUCACCUGCUUGUACCUGCUUUGAUCUUGCCUGGGGCACACCUGCUGCCUAUAGGCCCCACCUGGGCCUCACCUGCUCAGCCUUGGCUCUGAUCCCACCAGGGACAUACCUGCCCCCGUGGGCUAUGAUUCCCCGCCUGGGCCUCACCUGUCCCCUCGGGCUCUGGUCUGCACCUGGGCUGCUCUGAUUCCCACUUGGGGGAUGUGCCUGCUCCUGCUGCUGCUGAUGCCCACCUGGGCCUCACCUGUUCUGCUGGCUCUGGUCCCCACCAGGCCUCUCUGCCUGUCCUUGGCUCUGCCCCCUGCCUGGGCUGCACCUGCUCCUAGUGGCUUCGCUCCCUCUGGAGCCUCACCUCAUAUUUGGCAGUUAUUUCUGCUCGUUCCAGGGCCAGCAGGGUCUCCAGCUUUUCUAUAUCUGAUGCUACAAGAAAAAAAAUCCAAACAUUCCAGUGUACAAAAGAGCUUCAGCGAACCAACAGGUUGAAGUGGGCUCCCUCUUGGCAGUUCCCCGCCUCUCUGAUCAGAGGGGAGAAAAUGGUGCCUCCUGGGUGAGUGGCACCCCAAACGCCCUAACGCCUCCACUUACAGAGCCCUCCCAGCAGCCUGGAGAUCUUGGCACAAUGAGAUGAGGAACAAGAAGGGGACCUGGAGGGGGGUCAGUGCAGAGGCGCGGGCUCCUGGCCCAGGGGCGCCGAGGGGAAGGCAGCUGCCAGCUGGCAAGGGCCCCGCAGGCUCAUGGGAUGCACGUUUUGCUUGGGCAUCCGAAACCCAGGUGACAAAAGAUCAACCUUGAUAAGCUGAACUUUAUCAAAAUGAAAACGGCUGUGCCUCAGGUGACACAGUCAAGAGAAAGACAAUCCACACUGCGAAUACAAAUGUGUGAACGGCCUAACUGACCGGGGCCUAGGAUACAGAAUAUGGCCAGACUCCUAAGUCCACGGUAGAAACGGCUCAAGUAGACAGUGGGCGGAGGACUUGGAUGUUUCUCCAAAGUCAACCCAACUUGAGGGAAGAGGGCCAGCGGGCACAGGAGACAAGCCUCAACAUUGGCAUCAGGGGGAUGCAAAUGGAGGCCCCCAGGAGACCGCACCUCUCACCUGCUGGAGGGGUUUUACUGAGCACCUGAGGAUGUGGAGAGACUGGAACUUUCCUGUAGGGGCUGGCAGGAUUGCAAAAUGGCCCAGAUGGGCGCCCAAGAGAGAGGGACAGGGACGCAGACAUCUGUACACGCACGUUCAUAGCAGAAGCACUCCCAAGAGCACGAAGGUGGGCCCCCUCCCAGACAGGUGGCGGGAGGUCCAGGAUGGGAUGGCACGUCAUUCAACCGGAGGAGGAGUGACCCGCUGCCCCGUGUUCCCCCUUGGACGGAUGUGAGGCUCAGCAAAGAGAGCAGAGCCGGAAGACCGCCCGUCGUGAGGCUCCGUGCAUGUGCAGCGGCCAGCAGAGCCGGGCCCAGAGAGACAGGAAGUGGUCCAUGGUCUCCGGGGCUGGGGGAGGGCCCAGUGCGGGUGUCUGUUGAUAACAGAUUUUGUGGACAAGGUGGUGGCGGGUGGACAUAGUGUGAUGGUGGCAUGACGUCACAAAUAUACUCAAAACCACUGAGUGGUCUGCUU
rnacentral:lncRNA from 1 species